GAUGAACGCUGGCGGCGUGCCUAAUACAUGCAAGUCGAGCGAACAGACGAGGAGCUUGCUCCUCUGACGUUAGCGGCGGAAGGGUGAGUAAAACGUGGAUAACCUACCUAUAAGACUGGGAUAACUUCGGGAAACCGGAGCUAAUACCGGAUAACAUGUUGAACCGCAUGGUUCAACAGUGAAAGACGGUCUUGCUGUCACUUAUAGAUGGAUCCGCGCCGCAUUAGCUAGUUGGUAAGGUAACGGCUUACCAAGGCAACGAUGCGUAGCCGACCUGAGAGGGUGAUCGGCCACACUGGAACUGAGACACGGUCCAGACUCCUACGGGAGGCAGCAGUAGGGAAUCUUCCGCAAUGGGCGAAAGCCUGACGGAGCAACGCCGCGUGAGUGAAGAAGGUCUUCGGAUCGUAAAACUCUGUUAUUAGGGAAGAACAAAUGUGUAAGUAACUAUGCACGUCUUGACGGUACCUAAUCAGAAAGCCACGGCUAACUACGUG
rnacentral:rRNA from 1 species